rnacentral:rRNA from 1 species
AACGAACGCUGGCGGCAGGCUUAACACAUGCAAGUUGAACACAUCCUUCGGGGUGAGUGGCAGACGGGUGAGUAACGCGUGGGAACGUGCCCUUCAGUUCGGGAUAACCCAGGGAAACUUGGGCUAAUACCGGAUACGUGCGAGAGCAGAAAGAUUUAUCGCUGAAGGAUCGGCCCGCGUCUGAUUAGCUAGUUGGGGGGGUAAUGGCCCACCAAGGCGACGAUCAGUAGCUGGUCUGAGAGGAUGAUCAGCCACAUUGGGACUGAGACACGGCCCAAACUCUUACGGGAGGCAGCAGUGGGGAAUAUUGGACAAUGGGCGCAAGCCUGAUCCAGCCAUGCCGCGUGAGUGAUGAAGGCCUUAGGGUUGUAAAGCUCUUUCGUCCGGGACGAUAAUGACGGUACCGGAAGAAGAAGCCCCGGCUAACUUCGUGCCAGCCGCCGCAGUAA